rnacentral:rRNA from 1 species
AUUGAACGCUGGCGGCAUGCUUUACACAUGCAAGUCGGACGGCAGCACAGAGAAGCUUGCUUCUUGGGUGGCGAGUGGCGAACGGGUGAGUAAUAUAUCGGAACGUACCGAGUAAUGGGGGAUAACUAAUCGAAAGAUUAGCUAAUACCGCAUAUUCUCUGAGGAGGAAAGCAGGGGACCUUCGGGCCUUGCGUUAUUCGAGCGGCCGAUAUCUGAUUAGCUAGUUGGUGGGGUAAAGGCCUACCAAGGCGACGAUCAGUAGCGGGUCUGAGAGGAUGAUCCGCCACACUGGGACUGAGACACGGCCCAGACUCCUACGGGAGGCAGCAGGGGGGAAUUUUGGACAAGGGGCGCAAGCCUGAUCCAGCCAUGCCGCGUGUCUGAAGAAGGCCUUCGGGUUGUAAAGGACUUUUGUCAGGGAAGAAAAGGCUGUUGCUAAUAUCGACAGCUGAUGACGGUACCUGAAGAAUAAGCACCGGCUAACUACGUG